rfam:Alligator mississippiensis ScZkoYb_33, whole genome shotgun sequence.
UGUCAGUGAGGAAACUAUCCCGAACCUGAUUUGCUGAUGAAAAACUUAUUGCGGAUCUGGCUUCUGAGAU